rnacentral:rRNA from 1 species
UUGAAACUGUUUUAAAGUGAAGCCGGGAAAAGCUCAUUACAACAGCCGUCGUUUCUUGGAACUCCGAAACUACUUGGAUAACUGUGGUAAUUCUAGAGCUAAUACAUGCAAUCGAGCUCUGACCGUAAGGAAUGAGCGCAUUUAUUAGAACUAAAACCAAUCAGUACUUGUACUGUGGUUUGGUGAAUCUGAAUAACUGAGAUAAUCGCUUCUGUCUUUGCACAGGCGAUGGUUCCUCCAAGUGUCUGCCUUAUCAACUUUCGAUGGUAGGUUAUGCGCCUACCAUGGUUGUAACGGGUAACGGAGAAUUAGGGUUCGACUCCGGAGAAGGAGCCUGAGAAACGGCUACUACUUCUAAGGAAGGCAGCAGGCGCGCAAAUUACCCACUCUCAGUGCGAGGAGGUAGUGACGAAAAAUAACAAGGCGGUUCCCUAUGGGAGCCGUCAUUGGAAUGAGAACAAUCUAAACCUUUUAACGAGGACCUAGCGGAGGGCAAGUCUGGUGCCAGCAGCCGCGGUAAUUCCAGCUCCGCCAGUGUAUAUCUAUGCUGUUGCGGUUAAAAAGCUCGUAGUUGGAUCUGCGUGCACGUUGGCGGUCGGCCUUAUGGGUCUGAACUGCACAACUGCACUUGUGUGGUAGUUCUGUCUUUGUGCUCUUAACCGGGCGCACUGAUCGGCUGCCAAGUUUACUUUGAAAAAAUUAGAGUGCUCAAAACAGGCGUUUCGUCUGUAUACUGGUGCAUGGAAUAAUGGAAUAAGACCUCGGUCUUAUUUUGUUGGUUUUAUGUUCUGAGGUAAUGAUUAAGAGGGACAAACGGGGGCAUUCGUAUUGCUGCGCUAGAGGUGAAAUUCUUGGACCGCAGCAAGACGUCCGACUGCGAAGGCAUUUGCCAAGAAUGGUUUCAUUAAUCAAGAACGAAAGUUAGAG